AGUGUGACAAAUGGCAUGUGGAACUUAUUCCCGCUGAAGCAGUGUUCCCGGGGAAACGCUUUGAGUGUAACUCUGUUCCCAGGCCUGUGUGUGUGUUUGUUGCUGUGACAACCCCAAAUGAUGGAUUGGCAACAGGUGUGGGGGAUUUACUCAGAGUUUGCGUGAGGCCUCAUCAACAGUGGAGAGGAUAAAAAGCAAGAGAGAGAGGUGGUGCGUGUGGUUUUUCUCCCUUGUGAAAAGUCGUUUUAUUGGGUGGUAAUAGUUACUGGAGGACGGGUGAAUGAAGAGGACAGUGUUGCUUGAUGAGGGAUUCGAGAACAACAGCAGGAGAGUGAAUUACCCUGUUUGCAUUGGAGAGGAGCUGAGUAACUGAGAACUGAGUCUUGUAAUUGCACACUUUUGACACUGAAUUGGAUGUGGUUUGGAGUGUUUGGAUCACGAUCAUAAAUAUCACUGAGUGGAUUGUAUUGAUUCAUUACCGAACUCUUACCUCUCCCUCCUCUAUAAAUGGUGAUGUGAACUCUGCCUGUGACUGUGAAGAAAAACAUCUCAGAACAUCCUCAGUGGCAGUGAGGAUUGCGCCCUCCCCCUUCCCCUCGGACAGAAACCCGAAUGAGAAGAGAUGCCCUGUUGAAAUAUUUACUAUCUGCCUCAGAAAAGCUCUGUGCAACCUGUUGACUUCGAGUCUGCUGUAUCCCUGCCAUUCAACUGUAUGGUGAGAGGUGUUCGCUCCUUCCAAUACAUGUGAACUGUAUACUUGCUUGAAACAUCCAUUCUGUCUGUCUCAGAAGAAGCCCAUAUUCAGCCUGUUGACUUCGAGUCUGCUGUAUCCCUGCCAUUCAACUGUAUGGUGAGAAGUGUUCGCUCCUUCCAAUGCAUGUGAACUGUAUACUUGCCUGAAACAUCCAUUCUGUCUGUCUCAGAAGAAGCCCCAUUCAGCCUGUUGACUUCGAGUCUGCUGUAUCCCUGCUACCCAUCUGUAUGAGGAAGCCCCAUUCAGCCUGUUGACUUCGAGUCUGCUGUAUCCCUGCUAUUCAUCCGUAUUGUGAGAAGUGUUCGUUCCUUCCAACGCAUGUGAACUGUAUACUUUGUCUGAAGCAUCCAUUCUGUCUGUUUCAGUGGAAACCCUGCACAGCCUGUUGACUUAGAGUUUGUUGCAUCCUUGUGGCCCACCUGUGCUGAGAGAGGUGACUGUCCUUUGUCACGAACGUGAGAUGGGCACGCUUUGUCUGGAAUAUCCAUUCUGACGGUGUCAGGAGAAGCCACCUUACUGUAAGACCGUGCACCUGCCGUAUACGUACUUGACUGAUAUCAUUCGCCUCAAAUUCCGUACCUGUGGAAGAAGGAAGGAAGGCUGGAAUUACAUACUUACCGGAGGAGACUUACCGGACCCCUCACUUGCCAAACACAUCCCCACCUUAAGGCUGUGUAUCUGCCGUGUACGGACCUGACCGAUAUCCAUCCGUCCCAAAUUCUGCAUCUGUGAAGAAGGGAAGGGAGUUUGGAAGUAUUUAAUUACCAGAGGAGACCUACCAGACUGCGGGCUUGCCGAUUGUAUUCCCACCUGUGAAAUACCUACUUGACCACCCAUCUGUCCAUCUAUUGCGGGGCCCGCACAGAGGAAGAGGGCGGGAGAGUCCCCGGUCGCGGCAUUGUUUACCUUCAAGCCCUGAGGGUAACAAAGAAGAUUUUAGGUUAGGAUUCCCACUUUGCUUUUACUUCAAAAUAAAACUUGUUAAAUUUA